CAGUCGCCACGGGAAUACGUAGGUGGCAAGCGUUGUCCGGAAUUAUUGGGCGUAAAGGGCUCGCAGGCGGUUUCUUAAGUCUGAUGUGAAAGCCCCCGGCUCAACCGGGGAGGGUCAUUGGAAACUGGGAGACUUGAGUGCAGAAGAGGAGAGUGGAAUUCCACGUGUAGCGGUGAAAUGCGUAGAGAUGUGGAGGAACACCAGUGGCGAAGGCGACUCUCUGGUCUGUAACUGACGCUGAGGAGCGAAAGCGUGGGGAGCGAACAGGAUUAGAUACCCCAGUAGUCCCUGUCUCUUAUAA
rnacentral:rRNA from 1 species